rnacentral:rRNA from 1 species
GACGAACGCUGGCGGCGUGCUUAACACAUGGAAGUCGAACGGAAAGGCCCCUUUGGGGGUACUCGAGUGGCGAACGGGUGAGUAACACGUGAGUAACCUGCCCUUGACUUCGGGAUAACUUCAGGAAACUGGGGCUAAUACCGGAUAGGAAUCCUUGCUGCAUGGUGGGGGUUGGAAAGCUUCGGCGGUUUUGGAUGGACUCGCGGCUUAUCAGCUUGUUGGUGGGGUAGUGGCUUACCAAGGCUUUGACGGGUAGCCGGCCUGAGAGGGCGACCGGCCACAUUGGGACUUAGAUACGGCCCAGACUCCUACGGGGGGCAGAAGUGGGGAAUAUUGCACAAUGGGCGGAAGCCUGAUGCAGCAACGCCGCGUGCGGGAUGACGGCCUUCGGGUUGUAAACCGCUUUCAGCAGGGGCGAAGCUUGUGGUGACGGUACCUGCAGAAGAAGCACCGGCUAACUACGUG